rnacentral:rRNA from 1 species
AUUGAACGCUGGCGGCAUGCCUUACACAUGCAAGUCGAACGGCAGCACGGACUUCGGUCUGGUGGCGAGUGGCGAACGGGUGAGUAAUAUAUCGGAACGUGCCCUAGAGUGGGGGAUAACGUAGCGAAAGUUACGCUAAUACCGCAUACGAUCUACGGAUGAAAGUGGGGGAUCGCAAGACCUCAUGCUCAAGGAGCGGCCGAUAUCUGAUUAGCUAGUUGGUGGGGUAAAGGCCUACCAAGGCUACGAUCAGUAGCUGGUCUGAGAGGACGACCAGCCACACUGGGACUGAGACACGGCCCAGACUCCUACGGGAGGCAGCAGUGGGGAAUUUUGGACAAUGGGGGCAACCCUGAUCCAGCAAUGCCGCGUGUGUGAAGAAGGCCUUCGGGUUGUAAAGCACUUUUGUCAGGAACGAAACGGUGGGGGCUAAUAUCCUCUGCUAAUGACGGUACCUGAAGAAUAAGCACCGGCUAACUACGUGCCAGCCGCCGCAGUAA